AAGAAAAACACAGCAUGAGCCAAUUGCCCAGUACGGAUACAGAUAUACAAAAGAUAUACAACUGAUAUACGAAAAUAACUGAGACAAAAUACUGAACAAAGCCUCAAGUGCAAAUACGAAAGAAAAUAUAAUAUCCAAAGAUUUGAAUGGAAUAUAUCUGAAUCAACGUAAUUGACGAAACCAAUAAAAGAAUAAAGAAAUAACGAACUGAAGUAACUAACUCAAUGACUUGAACUGAACAGAAACCAACAAAACUAAUCCAAUAAAAUAAUAGGCUGAAACAAAUGGCUGGAGUUAUUUUAUACUGAAUGAGCUCAGAAAUACACAUUGCCACAUAGACAAGUCAAAAUAAUGCCACACAGGCAACCAACAUAAUGCCACACAGGCAAAUCACACAUUGGAUCGCGAAUCCAAAUGUAUGCAAAUCGGAUAGGUGUGUUUGGCACAACAUCACACAUCCGCAGAACAGAAAACUAGGGUUAACCCAUACGCCUCCCACAACAAAACACCAAAUGGCCCACUUCCUCCGGAGCCCAAAAUGGAGACGCCGUGGACUAAUCACACCGCCACGGAAAGUGUCACGUCUCUCGUGCCAAGACGACGUGCCUGUGGUACCC
rnacentral:lncRNA from 1 species